CGAUCGGAUCAUUAUUAUAGCCACAAUGGAGAAAUUCAUUUCCAGUGGCUAAACCCACCCUGUCCCGCAGCUUUUGUUGUUCUUUUUACAUUCUCUCAUUCACACUCUGCUUCUGCUCCUGCUUCACUCGGACCCUGCCUCUGUCCUCCCCCUGCCACUGACUCUUCCAACUUUUAACCCACCCCGUCCCGCAUUUGUUUGUUUUUUGUGUGCGGGCGCU
rnacentral:lncRNA from 1 species